GACGAACGCUGGCGGCGUGCUUAACACAUGUAAGUCGAACGGAAAGGCCCUGCUUUUGUGGGGUGCUCGAGUGGCGAACGGGUGAGUAACACGUGAGUAACCUGCCCUUGACUUUGGGAUAACUUCAGGAAACUGGGGCUAAUACCGGAUAGGAGCUCCUGCUGCAUGGUGGGGGUUGGAACGUUUCGGCGGUUGGGGAUGGACUCGCGGCUUAUCAGCUUGUUGGUGGGGUAGUGGCUUACCAAGGCUUUGACGGGUAGCCGGCCUGAGAGGGUGACCGGCCACAUUGGGACUGAGAUACGGCCCAGACUCCUACGGGAGGCAGCAGUGGGGAAUAUUGCACAAUGGGCGGAAGCCUGAUGCAGCAACGCCGCGUGCGGGAUGACGGCCUUCGGGUUGUAAACCGCUUUCGCCUGUGACGAAGCGUGAGUGACGGUAAUGGGUAAAGAAGCACCGGCUAACUACGUG
rnacentral:rRNA from 1 species